GUCCAAUUGUCGCAAGUUUAGUAAUUUUCCAUUAACAAGUCCCUUUAUGCGGUGUCGCUAAGAUGCCCGACUGUGGCUAGUGUUACUUGUCCUUCUGAGGUGUCGCCUGAGACGCCCGAUCGACAAGUUUAUAAUUGACCUUGCUUGUUUAUACAACAAUGGGAAAUGAUUGGUCUGCAUAAAUGCAUCCGUGAAUAAUUCUUAUGGCA
rnacentral:lncRNA from 1 species